GGGGCGCAGCCUGAUGCAGCCAUGCCGCGUGUAUGAAGAAGGCCUUAGGGUUGUAAAGUACUUUCAGUCGGGAGGAAGGCGUUGAUGCUAAUAUCAUCAACGAUUGACGUUACCGACAGAAGAAGCACCGGCUAACUCCGUGCCAGCAGCCGCGGUAAUACGGAGGGUGCAAGCGUUAAUCGGAAUUACUGGGCGUAAAGCGCACGCAGGCGGUUGAUUAAGUUAGAUGUGAAAUCCCCGGGCUUAACCUGGGAAUGGCAUCUAAGACUGGUCAGCUAGAGUCUUGUAGAGGGGGGUAGAAUUCCAUGUGUAGCGGUGAAAUGCGUAGAGAUGUGGAGGAAUACCGGUGGCGAAGGCGGCCCCCUGGACAAAGACUGACGCUCAGGUGCGAAAGCGUGGGGAGCAAACAGGAUUAAAUACCCUGGUAGUCCACGCUGUAAACGAUGUCGAUUUGAAGGUUGUUCCCUUGAGGAGUGGCUUUCGGAGCUAACGCGUUAAAUCGACCGCCUGGGGAGUACGGCCGCAAGGUUAAAACUCAAAUGAAUUGACGGGGGCCCGCACAAGCGGUGGAGCAUGUGGUUUAAUUCGAUGCAACGCGAAGAACCUUACCUACUCUUGACAUCCAGAGAACUUAGCAGAGAUGCUUUGGUGCCUUCGGGAACUCUGAUACAGGUGCUGCAUGGCUGUCGUCAGCUCGUGUUGUGAAAUGUUGGGUUAAGUCCCGCAACGAGCGCAACCCUUAUCCUUUGUUGCCAGCGAUUCGGUCGGGAACUCAAAGGAGACUGCCGGUGAUAAACCGGAGGACGUGGGGAUGACGUCCAGCCAUCAUGGCCCUUA
rnacentral:rRNA from 1 species